GAUGAACGCUGGCGGCGUGCCUAAUACAUGCAAGUCGAGCGAACAGAUAAGGAGCUUGCUCCUUUGGCGUUAGCGGCGGACGGGUGAGUAACACGUGGGUAACCUACCUAUAAGACUGGGAUAACUUCGGGAAACCGGAGCUAAUACCGGAUAACAUUUGGAACCGCAUGGUUCUAAAGUGAAAGAUGGUUUUGCUAUCACUUAUAGAUGGACCCGCGCCGUAUUAGCUAGUUGGUAAGGUAACGGCUUACCAAGGCGACGAUACGUAGCCGACCUGAGAGGGUGAUCGGCCACACUGGAACUGAAACACGGUCCAGACUCCUACGGGAGGCAGCAGUAGGGAAUCUUCCGCAAUAGGCGAAAGCCUGACGGAGCAACGCCGCGUGAGUGAUGAAGGGUUUCGGCUCGUAAAACUCUGUUAUUAGGGAAGAACAAAUGUGUAAGUAACUGUGCACGUCUUGACGGUACCUAAUCAGAAAGCCACGGCUAACUACGUG
rnacentral:rRNA from 1 species